AUUGAACGCUGGCGGCAUGCUUUACACAUGCAAGUCGAACGGCAGCACGGGAGUAAUCCUGGUGGCGAGUGGCGAACGGGUGAGUAAUAUAUCGGAACAUGUCCGGAAGUGGGGGAUAACGUAGCGAAAGUUACGCUAAUACCGCAUAUGCCCUGAGGGGGAAAGGAGGGGAUCGCAAGACCUUUCGCUUUCGGAGUGGCCGAUAUCAGAUUAGCUAGUUGGUGAGGUAAAGGCUCACCAAGGCGACGAUCUGUAGCGGGUCUGAGAGGAUGAUCCGCCACACUGGAACUGAGACACGGUCCAGACUCCUACGGGAGGCAGCAGUGGGGAAUUUUGGACAAUGGGGGCAACCCUGAUCCAGCCAUGCCGCGUGAGUGAAGAAGGCCUUCGGGUUGUAAAGCUCUUUCAGCCGGAAAGAAAACGUGCAGAAUAAUACUCUGUAUGGAUGACGGUACCGGAAGAAGAAGCACCGGCUAACUACGUGCCAGCAGCCGCGGUAAUACGUAGGGUGCGAGCGUUAAUCGGAAUUACUGGGCGUAAAGCGUGCGCAGGCGGUUUUUUAAGACAGACGUGAAAUCCCCGGGCUUAACCUGGGAACUGCGUUUGUGACUGGAAGGCUAGAGUAUGGCAGAGGGGGGUAGAAUUCCACGUGUAGCAGUGAAAUGCGUAGAUAUGUGGAGGAAUACCGAUGGCGAAGGCAGCCCCCUGGGUCAAUACUGACGCUCAUGCACGAAAGCGUGGGGAGCAAACAGGAUUAGAUACCCUGGUAGUCCACGCCCUAAACGAUGUCAACUAGGUGUUGGGGGAGGAGACUUCCUUAGUACCGCAGCU
rnacentral:rRNA from 1 species